rnacentral:rRNA from 1 species
GCUUACGGCCAUACCACUCUGAGCACGCCCGAUCUCGUCCGAUCUCGGAAGCCAAGCAGGGUCGGGCUGGUUAGUACUUGGACGGGAACCGCGCUGGGAAAUACCAGGUGCUGUAAGUU